rnacentral:rRNA from 1 species
AUUGAACGCUGGCGGCAGGCCUAACACAUGCAAGUCGAGCGGGGUUUUCGGACCUAGCGGCGGACGGGUGAGUAAUGCGUAGGAAGCUGCCCGAUAGAGGGGGAUACCAGUUGGAAACGACUGUUAAUACCGCAUAAUGACUGCAGACCAAAGUGUGGGACCUUCGGGCCACAUGCUAUCGGAUGCGCCUACGUGGGAUUAGCUAGUUGGUGAGGUAAUGGCUCACCAAGGCGACGAUCUCUAGCUGGUUUGAGAGGAUGAUCAGCCACACUGGAACUGAGACACGGUCCAGACUCCUACGGGAGGCAGCAGUGGGGAAUAUUGGACAAUGGGCGCAAGCCUGAUCCAGCCAUGCCGCGUGUGAAGAAGGCCUUCGGGUUGUAAAGCACUUUCAGCGAGGAAGAAGGGGUGUGUGUUAAUAGUACACACCUUUGACGUUACUCGCAGAAGAAGCACCGGCUAACUCUGUGCCAGCCGCCGCAGUAAAAC